rnacentral:rRNA from 1 species
CACGUAGGGUGCGAGCGUUGUCCGGAAUUAUUGGGCGUAAAGAGCUCGUAGGCGGUGUGUCGCGUCGGCCGUGAAAACCUGCAGCUUAACUGUGGGCUUGCGGUCGAUACGGGCAUCACUGGAGUUCGGCAGGGGAGACUGGAAUUCCUGGUGUAGCGGUGAAAUGCGCAGAUAUCAGGAGGAACACCGGUGGCGAAGGCGGGUCUCUGGGCCGAUAUCGACGCUGAGGAGCGAAAGCGUGGGGAGCGAACAGG